rnacentral:lncRNA from 1 species
CGUAAGUAUGCGGAUAUGCAAUUUGAUUGGCUAGAUACUUAUUUUAAAAUACAGUGCGCGAGUUUUCGCCUUUGAGUGUUGUGGUUGUCAUUUUACUUUUUUACCUUUUAAGAUAAAUGUUAUAUGUAAUAUUUUAGCAACUCGUUAGAACUGUCAAAGCAAAGGAAGUAGUACAAGACAAGAGGAUAAAUUGUCGGUUUAACGUGGUAAGUAGCUAACGUUAGCUAGCUUGCUAACGUUACCGUUAACUGAGCUGCAAAACUAGCUAACGUUAUUCACUAGCGAAAAUAUGCAUUCAUUUGUUUUGCAGAUAUGAAAAUGAAGUGUUUAAAGGUUGACGAAUACAUAAAACGGACAGCUUGUCCAAAAGAGACAAGGGUUCUACAUGAAGAAUUAGAGACUUACAUGAGAAAUGGACCUGGGCCACAAGGUCGAACAUUGUAUGACCGAGUUAUCAGGGCCUGUAACCACCAACUUGGAGUUGGGCCCCCGGACAGUGACCAUAUUGCUGGACUCAUAAAGCUGGUGGAGCUUGCACUCAGGGGGUAUGACAUCUCAGGGGAGCUUGGUGUGCAAAGCACCCCUUUGUAUAUGGAGAAAAUCACCUUUCAUGUACUCAAGAAACUGGGCUCCUUGGGAGUGUACCAUCCAUGUAGCUACUUGGGAAGCCUACUCUACCAGAGGUUGGCUCCAGCUCCACAGGUAAAGGAUGGAUGAUAGAGUACUAGUACAGUACUUCCUAUUAUAGUAACUGUAGUCAGCUGUUUUUACAUCAUCUCUGAUUGUGUCUUCUCAAUCUCUUGUUGAAUGUGUCUUCCUUCCUCUUGUGUGCCCCAUAGACAGAAGACUACUGUGUGCUUGUACGCAGCUGCUUUGCUGUACUGUGGAAUGGACUGUCUGCAGCACAAGACGGCGCCUGCCUAAACCCCAGGGACAAAUUCUGCUGCCAGUUGCAAGCCCUGAGCUUCCUGCUGCUGCUGGACAGGGAGAGAACCUCACCCC